rnacentral:lncRNA from 10 species
AGUUACAGAAAGAACCCACUGCAGGGCGUCCAGUCACUUGCCCAGUGAAAAGACUGUAAUCAGACAACUUUAAUAAAGGGAGAGCAGGAGAGUGGUGACGAAUUUCCACAUUCCGAACAAGCUUGUCGAAAGAGGAGUGCAGGGAAGGAGCAAGAAUGAGGCACUGGAAGACGGCUGUAGGCGCAUGAUGUCACAAGUUAUUGGAAGAAAUCCCUCCAACCUAGGUUGGGACAGAUGAAGGCGGCGCUUAUUGGUGUUCACCAAAACACCAGCAUGGUGUACCAGCUUUGGCUAGAUGAUGCUCAGACGGGCCUGUCUAAUUGCAGGAAAACAAACUCAGGGCUCCCACUGAUUCUACAUUACGAACACCAGAGACUGGGUAAUUAAUAAAAAGAAGAAAUUGAUCUGGCCUACAGUUCUGGAGCCUUGGAAGUCCGAGAUCAAGGAGCUGCAUCUGGAAAACACAGAUCCUGGUGCCGAACAUGAGGACAGGGCAGGCCGAAGGAGAAAGUGGAAGGAGGGGAGCUUCUCUCUCAGCCUCAUCCUUCUGGGCCUGGAUGCUGGAGAGUCAUGAGGUGCUUCAGAGUACUCUGGGUGAGGAGGGAAAGAUGGUGCCCACCACAUGGAGGCCAGCCUAGGUCUUGUAUGAAACCUGUGAGGAAGAAUACAUGGGUCUGAGAACCAAGAAGUGGAAGCAGGAGUGGACCCACUUAUCAUUUCCAAUGACCUCCUGGGGAACUUUGUGCUUCUUGUCUCUACAACUCUGGGCUCUAUGAGAUUAGAGGUUUUGGUCCUCAAAUGAGGUGCAGCUUGGCAGGAGACACAGCAAGUGUCCCAUUGAACUAUAUACUAUGGCUGCCACCAGGGCAUUUUGGACUCUUUCUAUGAAGAGACCAGCAGGUGAAAAGAAGAAAUCAUUGACUUCCAUCAGCAGAAAGAGGCCAGCAGGAGCCAGGCCGUGGCCUGCUGACUGCAUCUGCCAGAUGACUACCAAUGUGUGAGUAAACCCAUUCUCAAGCCCAAGAGAACCUCUCAGCUGAACCAGGCCCAAGUUGCUCACCCACUGAACUGCCAGUUAAAUAAAUGGUGGUUGUUUUAAUCCACUAAAUGCUGGGAUGGUUUGUUAUACAGCAGUAGGUAUCAAUACAGUGUACUUGUCAAUCUAGGAAUUCCUGUCUUGUCAAAUCUGAG